UGUUGUCAGUUGUCCUGCUGAUUUCC
rnacentral:piRNA from 1 species